UGUCUUCCAACAAUAGGUUCAGUUUGUUUUGUGCGAGGUUUUGUUUGGUUUUGUUCUUUUUUUUUUUUUUUCUUAUAAGUAGAAAGAAAAAAACAGGCUUAGACUUCUAUCAAAAGAGAGAUGUGCUAAUACAGCUUCCCGUCUCCUGGAGAAAUUCUUCAAAUAUUGCUGUGGGAAAGAACAGCCUUCUUUCCCCUCCUUUUUUAGAGGACAAGGGAGAGUAGAGGCUACUGCUGCACUUUGCAAGAAGAGAGAUGAUGGGAGCAUGUCUGUGUUCCUGUCUGGUGUGGAUGGAGAAAGAAGUGACAGAAAAGGAGAUCCUUGCCCAACAAGGAGGAAAAGAAUGUUCAAGAAUGGGAUCAGCCCUGAUUUGACUGGUCUGUGCUGAUGGGAGAACUGCACCUUUCCCCCAGUCUGCAGCAUGUUUGUAUCCUGGAAGGCCAAAAAACUUUUGUUUUCUGGACACUGUCACAUUGGAUAGAAUUGUUUUACGGUUGGAGUGGGGUUGUUUUGUUUUGUUUUCUUUCCCAUUGAAUGCAGAUAUUGUACACCAUUGAACAUUGUACAUUGCAUUGUCAAAUGCUGGGGCAGGGGUUACUUUCUUGCUCUGUAUCAGGUGGGCUGACUGAAUCCUUACGACGUGAGACAACCUGCAAAUAAAGCCAAAUGGAACUGAACUCUGUCACAGCUACUGUUUCAAUGGAGGUUAUUUCAGCAGGGAUACCAGUUGUCAUUUUCAAUUUAGGAACAAUCUCUUUGAGUUUAAUUUUUGAAUUAUCAGACAAUUGUAAAGGCAUUUAAUUCCGGUAGCCAAAAUGCAACUUUUUUAAUGUGAUAUGAAGGCUUUUAAAAACAGUUCUUUAAAAAGGAGUCCAUUUGUAUUAAAGAAAGAGCACAUUUUCGCUUACUGCUUAAUUUCUCUUUCUGCUUCUAAUCUGAGCUCCUUUGAAGUGACAACAUCUGAGAUCUAUGUAAAGCUCAAGUGCUGUGUAUGUUUACAUGAAUGAUGUGAUAUUAAGUUGUUGACCUGCCUAUUAUAGAAUUUGUAAGGCACAGAAUUUUUUAUUGCACAGAGAUAAAUUUCACACUAGGGAGAACUGAAGAUGCUGCUUUCCAGUAGAAAUGAAGCCAUUUGUAAGCCAGCUGUAAUAUUUUAACACAAAUAUUCUUUGCUUUUUCAUUAAUAUAGAGAGAAUUAAAUCUUGAUUUUUUUUUUUCUCAUCUCCUCAAGGUACCAACCAGUAUUGUAGGAAGGGAUCUGGCUUUAUAUUUGAAUAUAUUAAAAGUACAUUAAAAAGUGUAAGAAAAAUUAUUCUAGCCAAAGCCUGCUGUAGUUAAAUGAAGAAUUCCUUCAAGUGUAAACAGACAGUGUUAAGCAUGUUUGUAGGGGUGAUACAAUACACAUACAAUCUUCCAGGCCUCACUAUAUGUUCUCUUGCCACAUAACACAGUGAGAAGACCUGGGUGAACAGAAGCAACCAGCACUGUAAAUCCUAACAUUCUGAAAAGCAAGUAGGAGCUAUUAGUUAGUUAAUUGUGAAUUUUAGAAAGACUAAAAAAAAUAAAUUAAGAAAAUAAAUGUUGUCCUGUAAAACACUUUGGCAUAUACAUUAAGACCAAAAGUUGUGUAAAAAGGGCCAUUGUACCAGCUAGUACUGAAGCCUCCUGCUCAUUCCUCUGGGAGAGGUAUCAGGCUCCUCAGUGUAGAAUUAGAGACAUGGAAGGACAAGACCAGCUGUGAAACUAUUGCAGUUUGUGGUUUUGUACACAUUUAUAAAGACAUCGAAGACUAAAUCAUACAAAACAGCAGGAGUUUCUUUCCUGAUUUAAAGUUCCACAGAGGU